CCUACGGGGGGCAGCAGUGAGGAAUAUUGGUCAAUGGACGCAAGUCUGAACCAGCCAAGUAGCGUGAAGGAUGAAUGCCCUCUGGGUUGUAAACUUCUUUUAUAAAGGAAUAAAACGAGACACGUGUGCCUUUUUGCAUGUACUUUAUGAAUAAGGCACGGCUAACUCCGUUCCAGCAGCCGCGGAAAUACGGGGGAUGCGAGGGUUAUCCGGAUUUAUUGGGUUAAAAGGGUGCGCAGGGGGAGGCACAAGUCAGUGGUAAAAUCGCGGGGCUCAACCCCGCUCCGCCGUUGAAACUGUGUGCCUUGAGUGCGCGAAGGGUAGGCGGAAUGCGUGGUGUAGCGGUGAAAUGCAUAGAUAUCCCGCAGAACUCCGAUCGCGAAGGCAGCCUACCGGCGCGCAACUGACGCUGAGGCACGAAAGCGUGGGUAUCGAACAGGAUUAGAUACCCUUGUAGUC
rnacentral:rRNA from 1 species